rnacentral:rRNA from 1 species
CACGUAGGGGCCAAGCGUUGUCCGGAUUCAUUGGGCGUAAAGAGCUCGUAGGCGGUUCAGUCAGUCGGGUGUGAAAUCUCCGGGCUCAACUCGGAGGGGCCACCCGAUACUGCUGUGACUCGAGUCCGGUAGGGGAGUGGGGAAUUCCUGGUGUAGCGGUGAAAUGCGCAGAUAUCAGGAGGAACACCGGUGGCGAAGGCGGGUCUCUGGGCCGUAACUGACGCUGAGGAGCGAAAGCAUGGGGAGCGAACAGG